AGAGUUUGAUCAUGGCUCAGAAUCAACGCUGGCGGCGCGCUUAACACAUGCAAGUCGAACGAGAAAGUGGAGCAAUCCAUGAGUACAGUGGCGUACGGGUGAGUAACACGUGGGUGAUCUACCUCUUAGUGAGGAAUAACCCUGGGAAACCGGGGCUAAUACCGCAUAAGCCUGAGAAGGGAAAGCAGCAAUGCGCUGAGAGAGGAGCCCGCGGCCGAUUAGCUAGUUGGUGAGGUAAGAGCCCACCAAGGCAUAGAUCGGUAGCCGGCCUGAGAGGGCACACGGCCACACUGGCACUGAAACACGGGCCAGACUCCUACGGGAGGCAGCAGUGGGGAAUCUUGCACAAUGGGGGCAACCCUGAUGCAGCGACGCCGCGUGAGCGAUGAAGCCCUUCGGGGUGUAAAGCUCUUUCGGCAGGGAAGAUAGUGACGGUACCUGCAGAAGCAGCUGCGGCUAACUACGUGCCAGCAGCCGCGGUAAUACGUAGGCAGCAAGCGUUGUUCGGAGUUACUGGGCGUAAAGGGUGUGUAGGCGGUUCUUUAAGUUUGGUGUGAAAUCUCCCGGCUCAACCGGGAGGGUGCGCCGAAUACUGAGGGACUAGAGUGUGGGAGAGGAAAGUGGAAUUCCUGGUGUAGCGGUGAAAUGCGUAGAUAUCAGGAGGAACACCGGUGGUGUAGACGGCUUUCUGGACCAUAACUGACGCUGAGACACGAAAGCGUGGGUAGCAAACAGGAUUAGAUACCCUAGUAGUCC
rnacentral:rRNA from 1 species